ensembl:lncRNA
UGAAACUACACAUAAUCGCUUCAAUGUGUCUUAGCAGUAGUAAUGUUCAAGUAUUAAAAUGUCACUGUUGUUGCCAGUCAGUCACAUUAGACAGUCUCUCCAGGAGUUCUUGAUUUGCGGUCGCAGAAAUGAACGCAAAAUCAAGUAAACUCACGAAUAUUCAAAGAGCUUGCAAUUUUUCUAAAUUGCCAAAAGAUUUGGCCCAAGACAGGCGCGCGGUGGCUUAGUGGUUAGCACGUUCGCCUCACACCUCCAGGGUUGGUGGGUCGAUUUCCGCCGUGGCCCUGUGUGUGCGGAGUUUGCAUGUUCUCCCCGUGCUGCGGGGGUUUCCUCCGGGUACUCCGGUUUCCUCCCCCAGUCCAAAGACAUGCAUGGUAGACUGAUUGGCGUGUCUAAAGUGUCCGUAGUGAAUAAAUGGGUGUGUGUGUGUGUGUGUGUGUAUGUGAUUGUGCACUGUGAUGGACUGACACCCUGUCCAGGGUGUACCCCGCCUUGUGCCCCAUGCUCCCUGGGAUAGACUCCAGGUUCCCCGUGACCCUGAUGGAAGGAUAAGCGGUAUAGAAGAUGGAUGGAUGGAUGGAUGGAUUGACCCAAGACGUGUCACGUGACAUCAUCACAACACACAUUCAGCAGAAGCCCUCUUCUAUUCACUUGUGUCGAACACGAGUACAGCUAAAAGGUCUCAUCUACCAACAAACAUCACUGUGAAAGCCCGCGCAAAACAAUUUCGUGCCAAGUCGAGCAGUUUUCUGCAAAAAGGUACAAAAAAAAACGCUAAUUUUAAAAAAAGCCGCAACAAAAUAAACAAAUCUUGGCCGCAACAAUCUAAAAAAAAUAAAAUGAAUAAAACUCUGAAAUCCUAUAUGGACAUCCUAUAUGGUACAAUCAUACCAGUUUACACACUGACAAUAAAAUGCCAACGACUGCACUGAAAACAUGACAUUUGAUUUUUGGCAGCCAUUGCAUGUUGUUG